rnacentral:rRNA from 1 species
CGUAGGGGGCAAGCGUUGUCCGGAUUUAUUGGGCGUAAAGCGCGUGUAGGCGGCCACGCAGGUCCGCUGUGAAAACUCGAGGCUCAACCUCGAGAUGUCGGUGGAAACCGCGUGGCUAGAGUCCGGAAGAGGAGAGUGGAAUUCCCGGUGUAGCGGUGAAAUGCGCAGAUAUCGGGAAGAACACCCAUGGCGAAGGCAGCUCUCUGGGACGGUACUGACGCUGAGACGCGAAAGCGUGGGGAGCGAACAGGAUUAGAUACCCUGGUAGUCCACGCCGUAAACGAUGGAUGCUAGGUGUGGGCGGUGUCGACUCCGUCCGUGCCGAAGCUAACGCAUUAAGCAUCCCGCCUGGGGAGUACGGCCGCAAGGCUA